rnacentral:rRNA from 1 species
UACGAAGGGGGCUAGCGUUGUUCGGAAUUACUGGGCGUAAAGCGCGCGCAGGCGGUCUUCCAAGUCAGUGGUGAAAGCCCGGAGCUCAACUCCGGAACUGCCAUUGAAACUGUUAGACUUGAGGAUGAGAGAGGUGAGUGGAAUUCCCAGUGUAGAGGUGAAAUUCGUAGAUAUUGGGAAGAACACCGGUGGCGAAGGCGGCUCACUGGCUCAUUACUGACGCUGAGGUGCGAAAGCGUGGGGAGCAAACAGG